UUAAGAGAUAGGGUCUUCAUGGCCCGACCUCCACCCUCUGUUGUUAAAACUACCUUGUUGCUUUGGCGGGACCGUCUCGGUCUCCGAGCGCACUAACCCUCGGGUUGGUGAGCGCCCGCCAGAGUCCAACCAAACUCUUGUAUUAAACCAGUCGUCUGAGUAUAAAAUUUUAAUUAAAUUAAAACUUUCAACAACGGAUCUCUUGGUUCUCGCAUCGAUGAAGAACGCAGCGAAAUGCGAUAAGUAAUGUGAAUUGCAGAAUUCAGUGAAUCAUCGAAUCUUUGAACGCACAUUGCGCCCCUUGGUAUUCCGAGGGGCAUGCCUGUUCGAGCGUCAUUACACCACUCAAGCAUCGCUUGGUAUUGGGAACGGUCCGUCGAAAGGCGGGCCUUCCUCGAAGACCUCGGCGGGGUUCAACCAACUUCGGGCGUAGUAGAGUUAAAUCGAACGUCUUAUAAGCUUGGUCGGAUCUCAUUGCCGUUAAACCUUUAAAUUUUCUAGGUUGACCUCGGAUCAGGUAGGGAUACCCGCUGAACUUAAGCAU
rnacentral:rRNA from 1 species